rnacentral:tRNA from 1 species
GGAGGGGUGUCCGAGCGGCUUAUGGUAGCGGUCUUGAAAACCGCCGUCCCGGCAACGGGACCGUGGGUUCGAAUCCCACCCCCUCCG